rnacentral:rRNA from 1 species
AGAGUUUGAUCCUGGCUCAGAUUGAACGCUGGCGGCAUGCUUUACACAUGCAAGUCGAACGGCAGCGCGGGGCAACCUGGCGGCGAGUGGCGAACGGGUGAGUAAUAUAUCGGAACGUACCCAGAAGUGGGGGAUAACGUAGCGAAAGUUACGCUAAUACCGCAUACGAUCUACGGAUGAAAGUGGGGGACCUUCGGGCCUCAUGCUNGUGGAGCGGCCGAUAUCUGAUUAGCUAGUUGGUGAGGUAAAGGCUCACCAAGGCGACGAUCAGUAGCUGGUCUGAGAGGACGACCAGCCACACUGGGACUGAGACACGGCCCAGACUCCUACGGGAGGCAGCAGUGGGGAAUUUUGGACAAUGGGCGCAAGCCUGAUCCAGCAAUGCCGCGUGAGUGAAGAAGGCCUUCGGGUUGUAAAGCUCUUUUGUCAGGGAAGAAACGGCCGAGGAUAAUACCUUUGG